rnacentral:rRNA from 1 species
GACAGAGGCCUCAAGCGUUAGGCGGAAUCACUAGGCUUAAAGCGUGUGUAGGCGGAUCGUUAAGUGUCUUGUGAAAUCCCACGGCUCACCCGUGGAACUGCUGGGCAUACUGGCGAUCUUGGGCCAACUAGGGGCAACUGGAACAAGCGGUGGAGCGGUGAAAUGCGUAGAUAUCGCUUGGAACGCCAAAGGUGAAAACAGGUUGCUGGGGUUGUGCCGACGCUGAGACACGAAAGCCAGGGGAGCAAACGGG